GAUGAAGAACGCAGCGAAAUGCGAUACGUAAUGUUAAUUGCAGAAUUCAGUGAAUCAUCGAAUCUUUGAACGCACAUUGCGCCCGCCAGUAUUCUGGCGGGCAUGCCUGUUCGAGCGUCAUUUCAACCCUCAAGCACAGCUUGGUGUUGGGACUCGCGUUAAUUCGCGUUCCUCAAAUUGAUUGGCGGUCACGUCGAGCUUCCAUAGCGUAGUAGUAAAACCCUCGUUACUGGUAAUCGUCGCGGCCACGCCGUUAAACCCCAACUUCUGAAUGUUGACCUCGGAUCAGGUAGGAAUACCCGCUGAACUUAAGCAUAUCAAUAAGCGGAGGA
rnacentral:misc_RNA from 1 species